rnacentral:rRNA from 1 species
UCAAGCGAACAAGUGCAUGUGGUGGAUGCCUUGGCGAUCACAGGCGAUGAAGGACGCGGUAGCCUGCGAAAAGCCCCGGGGAGCUGGCAAACAAGCUUUGAUCCGGGGAUGUCCGAAUGGGGAAACCCACUCCGUAUGGAGUAUCCAUGACUGAAUACAUAGGUCAUGUGAAGCGAACGCGGUGAACUGAAACAUCUAAGUAACCGCAGGAAAAGAAAUCAACCGAGAUUCCCAAAGUAGUGGCGAGCGAAAUGGGAUGAGCCUUGUACUCUUUAUUCGUAUUGUUAGCCGAACGCUCUGGAAAGUGCGGCCAUAGCAGGUGAUAGCCCUGUAGGCGAAAACAGUAUGAAAGAACUAGGUGUACGACAAGUAGGGCGGGACACGUGAAAUCCUGUCUGAAGAUGGGGGGACCAUCCUCCAAGGCUAAAUACUCGUGAUCGACCGAUAGUGAACCAGUACCGUGAGGGAAAGGCGAAAAGAACCCCGGGAGGGGAGUGAAAUAGAUCCUGAAACCGCAUGCAUACAAACAGUCGGAGCCUCGUAAGGGGUGACGGCGUACCUUUUGUAUAAUGGGUCAGCGACUUACGUUCAGUAGCAAGCUUAACCGUAUAGGGCAGGCGUAGCGAAAGCGAGUCCGAAUAGGGCGUUCAGUUGCUGGGCGUAGACCCGAAACCAGGUGAUCUAUCCAUGGCCAGGAUGAAGGUGCGGUAACACGUACUGGAGGUCCGAACCCACUAACGUUGAAAAGUUAGGGGAUGAGCUGUGGAUAGGGGUGAAAGGCUAAACAAACCUGGAAAUAGCUGGUUCUCUCCGAAAACUAUUUAGGUAGUGCCUCGUGUCUCACCUUCGGGGGUAGAGCACUGUCAUGGUUGGGGGGUCUAUUGCAGAUUACCCCGCCAUAGCAAACUCCGAAUACCGAAGAGUGCAAUCACGGGAGACAGACAUCGGGUGCUAACGUCCGGUGUCAAGAGGGAAACAACCCAGACCGCCAGCUAAGGUCCCCAAAUAUGGCUAAGUGGGAAACGAAGUGGGAAGGCUAAAACAGUCAGGAGGUUGGCUUAGAAGCAGCCACCCUUUAAAGAAAGCGUAAUAGCUCACUGAUCGAGUCGUCCUGCGCGGAAGAUGUAACGGGGCUAAGCCAUAUACCGAAGCUGCGGAUGCGAGCUUGCUCGCAUGGUAGGAGAGCGUUCCGUAAGCCUGCGAAGGUGUCUUGUAAAGGAUGCUGGAGGUAUCGGAAGUGCGAAUGCUGACAUGAGUAGCGAUAAAGGGGGUGAAAGGCCCCCUCGCCGUAAGCCCAAGGUUUCCUACGCAACGUUCAUCGGCGUAGGGUGAGUCGGCCCCUAAGGCGAGGCAGAAAUGCGUAGCUGAUGGGAAGCAGGUCAAUAUUCCUGCACCGUCGUUAGAUGCGAUGGGGGGACGGAUCGCGGAAGGUUGUCCGGGUGUUGGACGUCCCGGUCGCUGCAUUGGAGAAGGCGCUUAGGCAAAUCCGGGCGCAGGAUUCAAGGGUGUGGCGCGAGCGACUUCGGUCGCGAAGCAAUUGGAAGUGGUUCCAAGAAAAGCCUCUAAGCUUCAGUCUAACGAUGACCGUACCGCAAACCGACACAGGUGGGCGAGAUGAGUAUUCUAAGGCGCUUGAGAGAACUCGGGAGAAGGAACUCGGCAAAUUGGUACCGUAACUUCGGGAUAAGGUACGCCCUUGUAGCUUGACCAGCCUGCGCUGGAAGGGUGAAGGGGUUGCAAUAAACUGGUGGCUGCGACUGUUUAAUAAAAACACAGCACUCUGCAAACACGAAAGUGGACGUAUAGGGUGUGACGCCUGCCCGGUGCCGGAAGAUUAAAUGAUGGGGUGCAAGCUCUUGAUUGAAGUCCCGGUAAACGGCGGCCGUAACUAUAACGGUCCUAAGGUAGCGAAAUUCCUUGUCGGGUAAGUUCCGACCUGCACGAAUGGCGUAACGAUGGCCACACUGUCUCCUCCCGAGACUCAGCGAAGUUGAAGUGUUUGUGAUGAUGCAAUCUACCCGCGGCUAGACGGAAAGACCCCAUGAACCUUUACUGUAGCUUUGCAUUGGACUUUGAACCGAUCUGUGUAGGAUAGGUGGGAGGCUAUGAAACCGGAACGCUAGUUUCGGUGGAGCCGUCCUUGAAAUACCACCCUGGUUUGUUUGAGGUUCUAACCUUGGUCCGUGAUCCGGAUCGGGGACAGUGCAUGGUAGGCAGUUUGACUGGGGCGGUCUCCUCCCAAAGGGUAACGGAGGAGUACGAAGGUACGCUAGGUACGGUCGGAAAUCGUGCUGAUAGUGCAAUGGCAUAAGCGUGCUUAACUGCGAGACCGACAAGUCGAGCAGGUGCGAAAGCAGGUCAUAGUGAUCCGGUGGUUCUGUAUGGAAGGGCCAUCGCUCAACGGAUAAAAGGUACUCUGGGGAUAACAGGCUGAUACCGCCCAAGAGUUCAUAUCGACGGCGGUGUUUGGCACCUCGAUGUCGGCUCAUCUCAUCCUGGGGCUGUAGCCGGUCCCAAGGGUAUGGCUGUUCGCCAUUUAAAGAGGUACGUGAGCUGGGUUUAAAACGUCGUGAGACAGUUUGGUCCCUAUCUGCCGUGGGCGUUGGAUAUUUGAAGGGGGCUGCUCCUAGUACGAGAGGACCGGAGUGGACGAACCUCUGGUGUACCGGUUGUGACGCCAGUCGCAUCGCCGGGUAGCUAUGUUCGGAAGAGAUAACCGCUGAAAGCAUCUAAGCGGGAAACUCGCCUUAAGAUGAGAUAUCCCUGGAGGCUUGACCUCCUUGAAGGGUCGUUCGAGACCAGGACGUUGAUAGGUCGGGUGUGUAAGCGCAGUAAUGCGUUCAGCUAACCGAUACUAAUUGCCCGUAAGGCUUGAUC